CCUAAGGCGUAAUGAAAGUGUCUGAGGGCGCUCUGAGCGCUCUCGGCGGGAGGAUGGGCUCCCGGGCUCAGMUCCGGUGCCCCGCACUCCCGGGGCGUUUCAUUCUCAAUUUACGAGUCGAGACGCACCAGGAGCGCACACGCUGGUACCCGAAAGAUGGUGAACUAUGCCUGGCCAGGACGAAGCCAGGGGAAACCCUGGUGGAGGUCCGAAGCGAUUCUGACGUGCAAAUCGAUCGUCUGAGCUGGGUAUAGGGGCGAAAGACCAAUCGAACCAUCUAGUAGCUGGUUCCCUCCGAAGUUUCCCUCAGGAUAGCUGGCUCUCGGUAAGAGACGAGUCUCAUCCGGUAGAGCGAAUGAUUAGAGGUGAUGGGGUCGAAACGACUUCAACCUAUUCUCAAACUCCCAAUAGAUGAGAGCCCCGGCUUGCUUGAAAGUGAAGCCGCGGGACACGGAUCAGAGAAUGCCAAGUGGGCCAAUUUUGGUAAGCAGAAYGGGGCC
rnacentral:rRNA from 1 species